rnacentral:rRNA from 1 species
AGUGAACGCUGGCGGUAGGCCUAACACAUGCAAGUCGAACGGCAGCACAGUAAGAGCUUGCUCUUACGGGUGGCGAGUGGCGGACGGGUGAGGAAUACAUCGGAAUCUACUUUUUCGUGGGGGAUAACGUAGGGAAACUUACGCUAAUACCGCAUACGACCUACGGGUGAAAGCAGGGGAUCUUCGGACCUUGCGCGAUUGAAUGAGCCGAUGUCGGAUUAGCUAGUUGGCGGGGUAAAGGCCCACCAAGGCGACGAUCCGUAGCUGGUCUGAGAGGAUGAUCAGCCACACUAGAACUGGGACACGGUCCAGACUCCUACGGGAGGCAGCAGUGGGGAAUAUUGGACAAUGGGCGCGAGCCUGAUCCAGCCAUACCGCGUGGGUGGAGAAGGCCUUCGGGUUGUAAAGCCCUUUUGUUGGGAAAGAAAAGCAGCAGGUUAAUACCCCGCUGUUCUGACGGUACCCAAAGAAUAAGCACCGGCUAACUUCGUG